UGGGAGCUUGCUCCCGGAAGUCAGCGGCGGACGGGUGAGUAACACGUGGGCAACCUGCCUGUAAGACUGGGAUAACUUCGGGAAACCGGAGCUAAUACCGGAUAAUUCUUUCCCUCACAUGAGGGAAAGCUGAAAGAUGGUUUCGGCUAUCACUUACAGAUGGGCCCGCGGCGCAUUAGCUAGUUGGUGAGGUAACGGCUCACCAAGGCAACGAUGCGUAGCCGACCUGAGAGGGUGAUCGGCCACACUGGGACUGAGACACGGCCCAGACUCCUACGGGAGGCAGCAGUAGGGAAUCUUCCGCAAUGGACGAAAGUCUGACGGAGCAACGCCGCGUGAGUGAUGAAGGUUUUCGGAUCGUAAAACUCUGUUGUUAGGGAAGAACAAGUACCGGAGUAACUGCCGGUACCUUGACGGUACCUAACCAGAAAGCCACGGCUAACUACGUGCCAGCAGCCGCGGUAAUACGUAGGUGGCAAGCGUUGUCCGGAAUUAUUGGGCGUAAAGCGCGCGCAGGCGGUUCCUUAAGUCUGAUGUGAAAGCCCCCGGCUCAACCGGGGAGGGUCAUUGGAAACUGGGGAACUUGAGUGCAGAAGAGAAGAGUGGAAUUCCACGUGUAGCGGUGAAAUGCGUAGAGAUGUGGAGGAACACCAGUGGCGAAGGCGACUCUUUGGUCUGUAACUGACGCUGAGGCGCGAAAGCGUGGGGAGCAAACAGGAUUAGAUACCCUGGUAGUCCACGCCGUAAACGAUGAGUGCUAAGUGUUAGAGGGUUUUCGCCCUUUAGUGCUGCAGCAAACGCAUUAAGCACUCCGCCUGGUUAGUACGACCGCAAGGCUGAAACUCAAAGGAAUUGACGGGGG
rnacentral:rRNA from 1 species